AUCCAGCUGAUGAGUUACAAAUGGGACAAAACGCGCGUUCUGGAU
rfam:Schistosoma rodhaini strain Burundi genome assembly, scaffold: SROB_scaffold0015165